CAUCAGAUGACUGAAAGCAAGUGAUGGUCUCUUAAACCAUUCUAUAGUAAUUUAGCACUUACUUCUGAUGA
rnacentral:tRNA from 1 species